UUGAUCAUGACUAUAAACCCCUCUAUUUCAGCCCUGCUCAGAACAGGCUGUUUCUGUGUCUGUACCUUUAAAUAUGCACAGGUCAAAGCCCCAGGUGAGCUACCCUGGUCAAAAAAGUCUGGACACGCCCCUGUCAAGAUUCUCAACACUUGCAAUACCUUACAUCACUAAACAGCUUCACAUCCAGGACAGCAGACACGUCGAACACAUCGUAUCCAGAGGGGGGUCUCUGGUCCAGGGUCAGCAGCCUCUCCUCGAGGGCGGGACUUUCCCUCAGGACGUCCACUGAGGAGGCGGUGAGGCUGUGCAGGGUGACGGUCACACUGAGGGGACGGGGGUGCAGAGUUUUCCUGAACAGAACCAGCUCUGCGGCCAGCAUGGAGGGGCUCAGACCACUGACGUUAAACCAGAUCCAUCCAGGAGGAGCGUGAUGAGGACCUGAAGAGCUGCAGAAAGUUGCACCUGGCCGUCUGCUGUAACAGUCUGAGCUCUGAUUUGUCUGCAGAACCACAGGAGCCGUCAGGACCCAGUGAAGCCGUCUCACUCUGACGCUGAGGAAUGUUUUAUUUCUCUGACAAAAUGUCCUGUGUGAACUGUUAUGAGCCUCGGCGCUGCACAACACUCAACAAGAAACCACUGAGCUGAUGCACCGGCUCAGUGUGAGCUGAGAGAAGACCUGCAGACACGUGCAACAUGGAGCAAUGAAGUUGGAAACAGCUUAAAGAUGGAGAAGGAGGGCUUUGAGCAAAGUCUGUCUCUCAUGGAGAGUAAAGAGAUCCGGAUCAAGGCCAUUGUCACCCACAGACAUAUGGGGUAGAAGUUCUUGGGGGAGCAGAGACCAGACAUGACCCACUACUUUGACCCUUGGCAUA